GACGAACGCUGGCGGCGUGCCUAAUACAUGCAAGUCGAACGCAGUGGGGACGGGUGAUUAACACGUGGGUAACCUCCCAUCAGAGGGGAUAACACUUGGAAACAGGUGCUAAACCGAUACUGAUGGAUGGACCCUCGGUGCAUUAGCGAGUUGGGGAGGUAACGGCUCACCAAGGCCACGAUGCAUAGCUGGCGUGAGAGGGCGAUCGGCCACACUGGGACUGAGACACGGCCCAGACGCCUACGGGAGGCAGAAGUAGGGAAUCGUGGGCAAUGGACGAAAGUCUGACCGAGCAACGACGCGUGAGUGAAGAAGGUUUUCGGAUCGUAAAGCUCUGUUGUGAGAGAAGCGGUAUCUAACCAGAAAGCCACGGCUAACUACGUGACAGCAGCCGCGGUAAUUC
rnacentral:rRNA from 1 species